ACCGAGAUGAUGGAAUUUGGUAGACAUAUGAGACUCAAAAUCUCAGAUCACUUAUGUGAUGUGCGGGUUCGAUUCCCGCUCUCGGUA
rnacentral:tRNA from 1 species